rnacentral:tRNA from 1 species
CCUGGUGGCUCAGAGGUUAAAGCAUCUGCAUCCAAUGCAGGAGACCCAGGUUCGAUCCCUGGGUCAGGA